CAAGGGUUGCUAAUAAAUGAAUUUUGGAAAAAAAAUGAUAUGAUUUGUCUGGCCUUUCUCGCGUAUAAGAGUGGCCUCCCUUGAAGCCAGGUGCUCGUUGCCAGGCAAUAUUAUAGGUGGCACCGCUGUCAACAUGUGCAUGUGAAAACGAAAGUAGAUUGUUUAUCUAGGAAUUAUUACAACAUUUUACCCUUCUACGUUGAGUUUUUAAGGGAGUAUUUCUGUGUGUCUUGAAGCAUUGAAUGCCCCAAAACAACCAGUAUGAUAAGAAAACCAGAGUAUACAGCUUCCCAAAAUUUUGAAAGACUAAGCUGUUUUUCUAUGGACUUGUAUACUAUCUAGGUUGAAAACAGCCAUGGACAAUGAAUUUGGAGGUGCAUGCUGGAGCAUCAGAAAUUACAUACUUGGAAUAAAUAAUUGCACAAUACACAUUUAUUGAGAAGUGACUAAUGUUUAUGUUAAAGUGCAAUAUCCAUGUUUGUAACAUUUUCUUGGGGGUAAUAGUUACAGUGUUGAAAGAGACUACCAGUGUUACAUUUAAGUCUAAGUUACAAUGUGGAUGAUAAUUCUAAGUUCUUGAUAAUCAAGUGUUUUUAAUAAUGUAUGAAUACUAAUUAUUUAUCAAACUGUUUAAUUUAUCACAUUCCUACACCAUUAUUUUAUAAAAAAUGCUUGUAGUUAUAUAAUAUAUGUCAGGUUAAAUGGUAAUAAAUUGUGUUUCUGUGUAAA